rnacentral:rRNA from 1 species
UACGUAGGUGGCAAGCGUUAUUCGGAUUUACUGGGCGUACAGCGUGCGUAGGUGGUCCUUCAAGUCGGAUGUGAAAUCUCCUGGCUUAACUGGGAGGGGUCAUUCGAUACUGUUGGGCUGGAGGGCAGCAGAGGAAGGUGGAACUCCCGGUGUAGUGGUGAAAUGCGUAGAUAUCGGGAAGAACACCAGUGGCGAAGGCGGCCUUCUGGGCUGUUCCUGACACUGAGGCACGAAAGCGUGGGGAGCGAACAGG